CAUGUCCUUUUGAUUAUAAUUUAAGGUCUGAUCUGCCCACUGAUAAUUUAAAUGGCCGCAGUAAUUUGACUGUGCAAAGGUAGCAUAAUCAUUAGUUUUUUAAUUGAAAGCUGGUAUGAAUGAUUGGAUGAGAUAAAAACUGUCUCAAAUUUAUUAAAAUAAAAAUUUAUUUUUAAGUUAAAAAGCUUAAAUUUUAUUAAAAGACGAGAAGACCCUAUAGAGUUUUAUAUAAAAUAGUAAAUUUAAACUAUUAUUUAAAAAGUUUUAUGUAUUAAUUUAUAUUUUAUUGGGGUGAUAAAAAAAUUUAAUAAACUUUUUUUUUAUUUAUACAUAAAUAAAUGAUUAAUUGAUCCAUUAUUAAUGAUUAAAAGAUUAAAUUACCUUAGGGAUAACAGCGUAAUUUUUUUUGAGAGUUCUAAUCGAAAAAAGAGAUUGCGACCUCGAUGUUGGAUUAAAGUUAAUUUUUGGUGUAGUCGCUAAAAUUAUUAAGUCUGUUCGACUUUUAAAACUUUACAUGAUCUGAGU
rnacentral:rRNA from 1 species